rnacentral:rRNA from 1 species
GACGAACGCUGGCGGCAGGCCUAACACAUGCAAGUCGAACGCCCGUAGCAAUACGGGAGUGGCAGACGGGUGAGUAACGCGUGGGAACGUGCCCUUGGUUCGGAAUAACUCAGGGAAACUUGAGCUAAUACCGGAUACGUCCGUAAGGAGAAAGAUUUAUCGCCGAAGGAUCGGCCCGCGUCGGAUUAGCUAGUUGGUGAGGUAACGGCCCACAAGGCGACGAUCCGUAGCUGGUCUGAGAGGANGAUCAGCCACACUGGGACUGAGACACGGCCCAGACUCCUACGGGAGGCAGCAGUGGGGAAUAUUGGACAAUGGGCGAAAGCCUGAUCCAGCCAUGCCGCGUGAGUGAAGAAGGCCUUAGGGUUGUAAAGCUCUUUCAGCGGGAAGAUAAUGAC